rnacentral:rRNA from 1 species
UACGUAGGGGGCAAGCGUUGUCCGGAUUUAUUGGGCGUAAAGAGCGUGUAGGCGGCCUGGCAGGUCUGCUGUGAAAACUCGGGGCUUAACUGUGAGCGGUCAUUGGAAACUGAGGGACUUGAGGACAGGUGAGGAGAGUGGAAUUCCACGUGUAGCGGUGAAAUGCGUAGAUAUGUGGAGGAACACCAGUGGCGAAGGCGACUCUCUAGUCUGUAUCUGACGCUGAGGCGCAAAAGCGUGGGUAGCGAACAGG